rnacentral:rRNA from 1 species
UGUGUGUUAGUGGAAGCGUCUGGAAAGGCGCGCGAUACAGGGUGACAGCCCCGUACACAAAAAUGCACAUGCUGUGAGCUCGAUGAGUAGGGCGGGACACGUGGUAUCCUGUCUGAAUAUGGGGGGACCAUCCUCCAAGGCUAAAUACUCCUGACUGACCGAUAGUGAACCAGUACCGUGAGGGAAAGGCGAAAAGAACCCCGGCGAGGGGAGUGAAAAAGAACCUGAAACCGUGUACGUACAAGCAGUGGGAGCACGCUUAGGCGUGUGACUGCGUACCUUUUGUAUAAUGGGUCAGCGACUUAUAUUCUGUAGCAAGGUUAACCGAAUAGGGGAGCCGAAGGGAAACCGAGUCUUAACUGGGCGUUAAGUUGCAGGGUAUAGACCCGAAACCCGGUGAUCUAGCCAUGGGCAGGUUGAAGGUUGGGUAACACUAACUGGAGGACCGAACCGACUAAUGUUGAAAAAUUAGCGGAUGACUUGUGGCUGGGGGUGAAAGGCCAAUCAAACCGGGAGAUAGCUGGUUCUCCCCGAAAGCUAUUUAGGUAGCGCCUCGUGAAUUCAUCUCCGGGGGUAGAGCACUGUUUCGGCAAGGGGGUCAUCCCGACUUACCAACCCGAUGCAAACUGCGAAUACCGGAGAAUGUUAUCACGGGAGACACACGGCGGGUGCUAACGUCCGUCGUGAAGAGGGAAACAACCCAGACCGCCAGCUAAGGUCCCAAAGUCAUGGUUAAGUGGGAAACGAUGUGGGAAGGCCCAGACAGCCAGGAUGUUGGCUUAGAAGCAGCCAUCAUUUAAAGAAAGCGUAAUAGCUCACUGGUCGAGUCGGCCUGCGCGGAAGAUGUAACGGGGCUAAACCAUGCACCGAAGCUGCGGCAGCGACGCUUAUGCGUUGUUGGGUAGGGGAGCGUUCUGUAAGCCUGUGAAGGUGUACUGUGAGGUAUGCUGGAGGUAUCAGAAGUGCGAAUGCUGACAUAAGUAACGAUAAAGCGGGUGAAAAGCCCGCUCGCCGGAAGACCAAGGGUUCCUGUCCAACGUUAAUCGGGGCAGGGUGAGUCGACCCCUAAGGCGAGGCCGAAAGGCGUAGUCGAUGGGAAACAGGUUAAUAUUCCUGUACUUGGUGUUACUGCGAAGGGGGGACGGAGAAGGCUAUGUUGGCCGGGCGACGGUUGUCCCGGUUUAAGCGUGUAGGCUGGUUUUCCAGGCAAAUCCGGAAAAUCAAGGCUGAGGCGUGAUGACGAGGCACUACGGUGCUGAAGCAACAAAUGCCCUGCUUCCAGGAAAAGCCUCUAAGCAUCAGGUAACAUCAAAUCGUACCCCAAACCGACACAGGUGGUCAGGUAGAGAAUACCAAGGCGCUUGAGAGAACUCGGGUGAAGGAACUAGGCAAAAUGGUGCCGUAACUUCGGGAGAAGGC